rnacentral:rRNA from 2 species
CGGGACCUCAGGUCAGGCGGGGCUACCCGCU